rnacentral:lncRNA from 1 species
AUGACCGCCCCUACCCCCACCCCGGGGCUGCUAUUCCGGGCGCGGCGCUCAGGGCCCGGGAAUGCGCGCGAACCGAGGUCGCCCUGCCCGGUGCCAGGAGGCCGCGCGCUGCGCCCUCUCCACCGACGCCCCGAUGGCGUCCCGGCGAGGGUCCCCUUUCCCAGCCGCUGCCCCCCUCCCCUAGUUCUUUCCCCCUACCCCUCCCUCGAGGCCACCCUCCUCAGGACCCCGCGCGCCUGGGCUCCCAUCCUGGGGUUCCCCCCCCCAGCGCCGGGCCCCAGCGCGCUGCGGAGAAGCGCAGCCCCGGGGGCCGGGCGUGGGGGGCGGGCGCAGGGCCCCCUCCCAGCGGCCCGCGCAUUCCCGGGCGCUGCUGUCAGCGGAGGACGCGCCCCACCCCGCCUCCCGCCCUCCCCGCCCGGCCCGGCUUCGGAGCCAGGCCCGGGUCCAGAAGGUCCUUUCCCCGGGCGCGCAAAGGUCCCACCCUCUCCGACCUCAGUUUCCCCAUCCAGGCAAUGGGGCAGGCAGGUUUCCGCCCGGAAACUUCCAGCUGGACCCUGGCUCUGCGCGGACUGGCGGGGACAGGGUCAUGGAGGGCUCCCACCACCCCAGCCUUACCUGGCUUCACGUCUGCACGCUGCCCUCCACCCACGUGGGGACACAGAUGGUGCCCUCUGCCCGUCCCCUCUCGGGACUCCUCCCUGUCACCCCAUGGUGCUCCCUAGUGGGCGGGUUGAAGAUGUGGGGGCACCAAUGGGCCGAUGGGUGGACUGCCCUCUGCCCCCUGGGCUCAGCACAGGCUCAGCUUUGAGGGCCCCUCCUUGCAAGCCAGUAAUGGGGUCUCCCAGCCCUGACCACAGGGAAAAGGUUUGUCUGUCCAGCUCUGUCUGUCCUCCAGCAGGGAGCAGCUCAGAGCAGGGUCACCCAGUGCCAGCGGUCCAUUCGACAUUUACUGAGCUCCUACUGCGUGCCGGGACGCUGUGGACAACCAACCCGUCAGGCUAA